CCCUUAGAUGUUCUGGGCAGCACGCGCGCUACAAUGGUCUUCGCAAACGGAUGCAUUCUCGAAGGAGAAUGCCAAUCUUGGAAUCUAUGCCUUGGUCGGGACAGUUGCUUGCAAUUUUUCGACUCGAACCAGGAAUUCCUUGUAAUCGUGAUUCAUCACAUCACGAUGAAUACGUCCCUGCCCUUUGUACACACCGCCCGUCGCUCCUACCGAUUGAAGUUUUCGGUGAAUUUGCUGGAGGUUGGCUUUGAAACUGGUUCGCCAGCGGAUUGGCUUACCAAAAGCAAAUGAAUCGAUGGCUUUAGAGGAAGGAGAAGUCGUAACA
rnacentral:rRNA from 1 species